GGGGAAUCUUGCACAAUGGGGGAAACCCUGAUGCAGCGACGCCGCGUGGGUGAUGAAGUCCUUCGGGAUGUAAAGCCCUUUCGACAGGAACGAUAAUGACGGUACCUGGAGAAGAAGCUGCGGCUAACUACGUGCCAGCAGCCGCGGUAAUACGUAGGCAGCAAGCGUUGUUCGGAGUUACUGGGCGUAAAGAGUAUGUAGGCGGUUGGGUAAGUUUGGUGUGAAAUCUCCUGGCUUAACUGGGAGGGUGCGCCGAAGACUGCCUGGCUUGAGUGCGGGAGGGGAGAGCGGAAUUCCUGGUGUAGCGGUGAAAUGCGUAGAUAUCAGGAGGAACACCUGCGGUGUAGACGGCUCUCUGGACCGAAACUGACGCUGAGAUACGAAAGCGUGGGUAGCAAAC
rnacentral:rRNA from 1 species